GAUGAACGCUGGCGGCGUGCCUAAUACAUGCAAGUCGAGCGAACGGACGAGAAGCUUGCUUCUCUGAUGUUAGCGGCGGACGGGUGAGUAACACGUGGAUAACCUACCUAUAAGACUGGGAUAACUUCGGGAAACCGGAGCUAAUACCGGAUAAUAUUUUGAACCGCAUGGUUCAAAAGUGAAAGACGGUCUUGCUGUCACUUAUAGAUGGAUCCGCGCUGCAUUAGCUAGUUGGUAAGGUAACGGCUUACCAAGGCAACGAUGCAUAGCCGACCUGAGAGGGUGAUCGGCCGCACUGGAACUGAGACACGGUCCAGACUCCUACGGGAGGCAGCAGUAGGGAAUCUUCCGCAAUGGGCGAAAGCCUGACGGAGCAACGCCGCGUGAGUGAUGAAGGUCUUCGGAUCGUAAAACUCUGUUAUUAGGGAAGAACAUAUGUGUAAGUAACUGUGCACAUCUUGACGGUACCUAAUCAGAAAGCCACGGCUAACUACGUGCCAGCAGCCGCGGUAAUACGUAGGUGGCAAGCGUUAUCCGGAAUUAUUGGGCGUAAAGCGCGCGUAGGCGGUUUUUUAAGUCUGAUGUGAAAGCCCACGGCUCAACCGUGGAGGGUCAUUGGAAACUGGAAAACUUGAGUGCAGAAGAGGAAAGUGGAAUUCCAUGUGUAGCGGUGAAAUGCGCAGAGAUAUGGAGGAACACCAGUGGCGAAGGCGACUUUCUGGUCUGUAACUGACGCUGAUGUGCGAAAGCGUGGGGAUCAAACAGGAUUAGAUACCCUGGUAGUCCACGCCGUAAACGAUGAGUGCUAAGUGUUAGGGGGUUUCCGCCCCUUAGUGCUGCAGCUAACGCAUUAAGCACUCCGCCUGGGGAGUACGACCGCGAGGUUGAAACUCAAAGGAAUUGACGGGGACCCGCACAAGCGGUGGAGCAUGUGGUUUAAUUCGAAGCAACGCGAAGAACCUUACCAAAUCUUGACAUCCUUUGACAACUCUAGAGAUAGAGCCUUCCCCUUCGGGGGACAAAGUGACAGGUGGUGCAUGGUUGACGUCAGUUCGUGUCGUGAGAUGUUGGGUUAAGUCCCGCAACGAGCGCAACCCUUAAGCUUAGUUGCCAUCAUUAAGUUGGGCACUCUAAGUUGACUGCCGGUGACAAACCGGAGGAAGGUGGGGAUGACGUCAAAUCAUCAUGCCCCUUAUGAUUUGGGCUACACACGUGCUACAAUGGACAAUACAAAGGGCAGCGAAACCGCGAGGUCAAGCAAAUCCCAUAAAGUUGUUCUCAGUUCGGAUUGUAGUCUGCAACUCGACUACAUGAAGCUGGAAUCGCUAGUAAUCGUAGAUCAGCAUGCUACGGUGAAUACGUUCCCGGGUCU
rnacentral:rRNA from 1 species